rnacentral:lncRNA from 1 species
AUUUGGGCCCCCAGGGAAUGCCUUGUGACUUAGCAGAACAGCUGCAGGGGCUGUGGUGUCUGGGGCCACCUGCUCGUGCCCUGUCCCAGCAGCUUUGACAAGAACUGUUUUUAGAAGAGCUUGCUCAUGGAAGGUUUGGGGCCCAUUUCCAGACCUCUGCUUUAAAUGGGUGCCAGGCUUAUUUUGCCAGUAAUCUGGCAUGUUUGUGGGCUCAGGGGCAGGACACAAAGCUUUUGCUCUAAGAUCCAGCUUUUCGACCGGAUUCCUCAUGGUGGCCGUGCCUUCAGCAUCCGUACCAGCAGAAACUUCAUCAGUCCCUUCCAGUCAGCGGAACCUACCUGGAGUUCAAGGCUGCUGUGGUUCCCAGCGUGGGAGGUGGCCCCGCAGCACCAGGCAGGAAUUACUCCCUCAGUGGAAGAGGCUGAGAGCUCGUGAGCCCCUCUCCGUGAAGGGAAUCAGUUUGCUGAAGGCUGAAAUCAUGAGGAAAGUGGGAAGUGGAUUGGGUUUUUUUGGAGCCGAGCGAGGUUUCGGUGUCUCAGACUUCAGCAUCCUGCUCCUGAAGCUGCUGCAGUUGUGUGUGAUGGGAUCCCAGCUCCUCAGUGAGCCGUGAGCUCCCCCAGCUGGGGCAGCUGCUGCCCUGCACCCGGCGCUGAGCACUGCAGGCCGUGGGAACCUUGUGGGUUCCAUUGCUGCUGAAGCUGCUGUUCGUGUGCUCCCUGUGGAAGAACGAUCCCUUCCAGGGAGUUUUUGCAGAAAAAGAUCUCUGGGGGGAGGGUCUGGAAUAUUUGAAAUACGUAAAAUAAGUGAGUAGUUUAGACUGUGUGGAAUACUGGGAGGUGAUUAAAGGUGGUCACCCAAAGCUCCUGCUGUGUCUGUG